AUAAAAAUCGCAUUUUAUCUGUAUUAGUAGAUCUUCACCAAACUCUUAAGCAAUACAAUAUUCCCUCUAAUGCUUUACACACGUGUGUGCUGAAAAGCUACCAUUCUUUCAUUUGCUUUGAAGACUGCAUUAAACCUUAAGGGGUUUUUUGUUUGUUUGGUUGGUUGGGGUUUGUUUUGUUUUGUUUUGUUUUUUGUAGAAACAGCAAUGCAGCUGAUUCUGAACUCACAAGUACUUUUAAAACCCAGUCCUUUCCUCCCCACAUUCCCAUGCCUGUGUCAACACCUCGAUUCUUCCUGGGGAACACUUGUUUGAAUCUUGUCACAAGGGUGUUUCAUGGCAGUGGAGCUGAGUUUGUCCUCUCUAGAGUGAAUGGCAAUUCAAGUAUCCCUAUUAGUGGGCAGAGUACAAGUCUUACAUAGCCUGUACUUCAAACAAAUGGGAAUGACUCCUAAGCAACUCGAUUCUCCCUCACAGGAUGGUAUUCGGAGAUGGGUUACCUGCUCAGAUCUGACCUAGAGUGGAAGACUUGGGUCAGUCCUCACCAAUGUGUCUGUUAUUCAGCUGUCUCAGUAUUAAAUUGUGAAUGAAAACCCAGUGUUUGGGCUCAUACAGGAACCUUGGAGAAGUGGACCCCUCUGUGUGAGAAGCCUGCAGUCAGUCGGAGGAAGGACGCUUUCCACCACCUGUUCCGUCCAGGCAGUUCUAAAACCACCACUAGACAUGUUCUGUGGACAUUCGGGAUUGGGCUUUGAUCAGUCAUCAGUCAAAUGGGUCACUCUGAAGGAAAGGUUUGGUGGUUGGCAUUAUACCACUGAUACAAAGUAUUAGCAAAGUAUAGUUCAAAUUAAGUGACAUGACCAAGAGCUUUUCUCUUAAAAAAGAUGGAUUUUAUUGUAAAUAGUUUCUCAAAAUAUUUUUAACUGGAUCAUGAGCAUGGGGAGAGAAAGUUUCUCAGCUGCUAUGAAUUUCCCCACUGUUUACUUCUCUCAUUUACAGUGGUAUUGCAUAAGAUUACAAAAUGUUAGGUUUUAUUUGUAUCUAUUACCCAAACCAUUAAAUUGUCUUUAAUUUCAUCAUUGUCUUGGAAGGCCAGUGCAUGAAGAGCUGAUGGGGGAAGCCCCUCUAGCCACUCAGCGCUCUAGCCCAGGAUUAAGACCAUCCCAUCGAGUAGUGUGUCAAGUCCAGUCUUUGUAAACUCUCUCAGACCAAACGUUGUUGAAGUGGACUAAUCCGUGUAAUCGGUCCUGUAAGUGGACGGACAAACAGCUGCCAGCAGCUGCUUUUAAAAGGUCACUAUGAGUACUACAUAGCACAGUAUUAAUUUAUAGCAGGAAUCAUAUCUUGUAAAAUGUAUAUAAAACACUUUUAUGGUGCAAUCAUUUGUCAAAUUUUGUCUGUUACGUUGUUCUUAGAGUGUACAUUCUUCUCAUGCCUAAGAAUAUCACUGUAAAAUCUGCUGAAAACUAUUUUUAGGUUUUAUUUGCACAAGACUGAACUAGUUUGAGUGUUUAGGAAGCUCCUAUCGAACAAGCCUAAACAUCUGUAUAGAUAAAAAUCUUCAAUUCAUUAAAAGCAACCAUUAGU
rnacentral:lncRNA from 1 species